rnacentral:sRNA from 1 species
GACCAGCCGAAAGAUCGGCCAGCCGCCA